CCGCCUCCUAGCCGUAUUUCAAGGCGCAAGCCCCGCCUCCCAGGUAGCCUAUUUCAAGGUGCAAACCCCGCCUCCCGGGCGGCCUAUUUCAAGGCGCAAGCCCCGCCUCCCGGGCGGCCUAUUUCAAGGUGCAAGCCCCGCCUCCCGGGCGGCCUAUUUCAAGGCUCAAGC